GAUCAUGUAUGUUUGCUGAUGCUGGUCAUUUUCAAGCUGCAACCAUGUGUUGUUAUAAUAUGUUAAGAGUCGCGGCGAAAUUUGGUAAGCUUGUGCAAAUUUCUUAGUAAUCAGUAUGGUUCAGAGGCAUUGUCAUAUAGGUUUUAUUUCAUUUUUGUUGUCAAUUUUCUUAGUAAUCAGUAUGAUCUCACUAGAAGGCAAUUUUAGUAAACUUUCAUUGUCUUCUUUUUGUUCCGUGCUCCUAGCAGAUGGCCUCCAAUCAGGAAUGAAAAUUUUCAGCAUAUGUGCCUGCAUCUAGGUGGCAAGUGAGUUUUGUUCUUGAUUAUCUUUUUCCCUUUGUUUCACCUACUUUAUGCGAGACAUGGGGAUCGCUUUAUUUAUUCUCUCGCAUUAGUAUACAUUCUCUUUUCAGCAUAUGAGGCUGCAUGUCACCAAAAUACAUGGGGAUUGGUUACUUUGUCUGCUAUAUAAAGCAAGACGAUGCAAAAAAUGCAUGUGUGCUUUAUCUCUUAUGUUUCUUUGUAUGUAUAUGUGGUUACUGAUUUUUUGAUUGCUCACUGUAUAAUAUUUAUAUCUUUGAUGAUCAUUGGUUUGCUUACAUCCCCUCCAGGGAAUACAAAGAGAAAAAGUAUGAAGGCGAUUUAUAUUAUAUUGAGAAUAAAACAUAUGGUGGGUGUAUGGUAAGAGAGUUUAUAGAUUUUUUCAGGUCUUGGAUGAAAUUGUUAGUAUGAUCUCUGUGUGCUCCAAUUCUUUUAUGAUAUUAGGUUAGUGUGAUUUUCAUAUAGAGGUAGUGAGGUAAUAAGGAACUGGGACUAAUAAACAGAGUAUCUCCUCUUUCUUUGAAUACCUUGCUUCUCAAGUUGCUUCUAUAUGAGUUAUUUUUGCUCUCAAACGAAAUUCAGUGGAGCAAAAGGAUCCUCAUGAAUUACUUAGUAGUUCAGUAGGGUGGGAAGACAGGCAUUUUAUUGUUCGUGGACAGAGGGAGUAAUGGGUUGAACCUUGAAAGUGUGAAUUGGUUUUUUAUUUACCCUGGAAGUUCAUAUGUGUUUGAGUCAGUGCUCCAGCUAGCUAGCCUUAGCCGGAUAUAUCUUUUACAGAAUAUUAUGUUUCCUAUUUGUUAUCAAGUUAUUCGCUAAAGCACUUGGGUGUGAUGAAAGUACAGUUCAUCCGGUAACAAGUUUCUGAAAUUUGAGUGGAUAUUGGGCACUAAAUCUCAAAACUCAAAACAUGGCUUUCAUAAGUUAAACAAGAAUCCAGUAACGUUGUAAAGAUAGGUUGUUACUAAUGCAGAUUGAGAUGAACGAGGUAUGGCAGAUUAGGCCGGCCAUUGAUCAUACUAACACUAUUCUCCUCGAGGGAAGAGCCUAAGGUAAGUAAGUUAUGUGUGCUCUCACUUUCUCCAUGCUUUGCUAGAAUUUUUUUUAUACUUAUGGUUGGUUUGGAUUAUGUGCGUUUCCGUUUGUGCGGGAGCUCUGAGCACUGUGUAUGUCCUUUUUUUUCCGUUUGAAGAUCUGGUUCGUGUGGUAGUAAUGGAGAGUUGGUGUCCAUUUCUUUGCAGGAGGAAGAUCAAGGUAAUAAGAAAAUUAUCCUCCGCUUCUAUGAUAAUUAGUCAGAAAAUAGUUAGCCAUUAUCUGACCAGGUUGGUAAAAUUAACGUCUGUUUUCUUUUUAAAAGCAAGCAACAGUAAAUGCUCAAUAGCGCGAAUACACCAAUAUAGUCACUUAUAUGUUAAAAGUUAAAUAGUUUAGAGGUGUGACUAAAUAGCAAGGAAGCCAACACAGAGUGGAGAAUAAUGAAUAAAAAGCCAGAACUGCAUGUUGGAUAUUUUAUUACCUUUUUAUCCUUUAAUAUGUGAUAUAUGGAUGCAACAACAGCUAGAACAGUAAGUAGAGUAGACUGUUCAAUCUGAUAAAUUCAUGACAGUAGGUAAUUGAGAGUACAAGUUCCUGAGGACAAAGAACUAGAUGCUUCAACUGUAUCACAGGUUGAACAAAAUAGUACUCCCUCUGGGACAUCAAGCAUGUUCAUGAUUUGGAUAUAAACGACCCCUUUGGAUGUUGAUAUUCAAACUGCCUCUACUGUGCACUUAACUUUCAGUGUUAAUAUUACAUAGGCUUAAACACUAUUAUUUCUUCCAUUCUCUUUAGACUACUUUGCCGGUUAUCUAUCCUUUACAUGUAUCUUUCCUUCUCUCUUUUUGGGGACAUUAUCUUUUUUCUUGCUUUCCCAAUGGCAAGAUUUCGUGGAGUUUAGUUAGCUGUAAAUCUCAUGGAUGUUGUGUGUCCGAUGAACAUACUGUGGUUGCACCAGUUCAGUUGGCGGUGCUGAAACUUUUGCUGAAUUGGAUUGAGCAUGCCUGGUGGUGGUUGCUGGCGGCGGCCAAGCAAGCAAGGUGCUCAUUCACCUCGGUACUGCUGCUGAGCAUGGAGAGAAAUCUGCCGCCAAGAAGCUCGAGCAAACAGACAGCCUGACCAGGAACUCCUUGUGCAGGUGCCAUUGUGAAAGUAAGGUCCUUACUUCUUACGAUCAGAUGCCGAUGUAAAUUCCAGUGAUCAGAAAUUGUGAGCCUAUUGGUCAAUAAAUCUAGACGAAACUUACUUGAUGCUUGUUCAUAAAUAUCAGAAAUUUUGCUUCUUGCUAAAAAGGUGCUCAGUACAAACGUUCAGGUUCAAUAUAAGAUAUCUUUUUUUUUCUCCGAGCAGCCUAUAUCAUCCAUCUUGAGGAGAGCGGCUAAUUUUUGGUGUGCAGGUUUCUGAUGGCUUUCACAAGUUAAACAAGAAUCUUGGAUGUAGCCCAUGAAUCGGUUAGUUGGUCAUGCUUCACUAUUCAUAGGUGACACAUGUGUCCUUGGUCUAGGAUGUUAAAUAAUUCCAGUUCCAAUUAGUUUUCACAUGGUAAUGCUAAUAGAUAAAAACUGCUGGCUCCUUUUCAGAGGCCAUCUGAAUAUCCCUUCCACACAUAUAGAAUGUAUCCUUAGAGACUGAGUCUGAAUUCACCGAAGCUAAGCAAUCCACUUGGUACUAUGGGUUAGAUGAAAAUGUCUAUAUCCAUUUGGACUUCCAGGUCUACGACAAUCUGACGGACUGCCUGUGGAUUAUUAUGUUUUGUUCUGGUUAUUUAGUGGACUCAUAUAAGGUUCUUAGAAGAGAGGGUGUGGGAGGAAGAAGAGGCAAACUCCGGUGACGCGUCGUGCCGCUGCUACUGCCUCACCAAACAACCAGGGCAAACAAACGAGGUGUACAAGUGAUGAGCUUCUGCUUCAAGAAAUAUCAAGGGUGCCAAGGGGCAUAAGGUUCGUUUGGCCGAUGCAAAUGAAGAUGGCGAAAUUCGGCUGGUCUCCUUUCAUAGGAUGGGCAAGGAGAUUAUUUGUUGGCCAGUAUCAUCAUUGUCUAGGCACAUUUUUGUCCAUCAGUAGCUCCUCAUUUGUACAUACAAAAUGCAGCUUUUUAUUUGAUAGAUAGCCUAUAAAGUUUAGACUUAUCAUUAGAAUCCAAGAGUGUUUACAUCAGAAUGUUGUUGUUCAACUGGGAUGGUAUCUUUUUCAUUAAUAUAAAUUGUAUUGAAGCAAUCCUUUGUAUUGCGUGCAACUUAGUUUCAGCGAAUCUCUAAGAAGAUGCCAUCAGGUUCACUUGACCGAGUAAGCCCAUAGUUUAUGCCUUGAGAAACA